AUGGGUGAAUUUGUAGAAGGAU
rnacentral:miRNA from 3 species